rnacentral:rRNA from 1 species
AGCGUACACGGUGGAUGCCCUGGCAGUCAGAGGCGAUGAAGGACGUGCUAAUCUGCGAUAAGCGUCGGUAAGGUGAUAUGAACCGUUAUAACCGGCGAUUUCCGAAUGGGGAAACCCAGUGUGAUUCGUCACACUAUCAUUAACUGAAUCCAUAGGUUAAUGAGGCGAACCGGGGGAACUGAAACAUCUAAGUACCCCGAGGAAAAGAAAUCAACCGAGAUUCCCCCAGUAGCGGCGAGCGAACGGGGAGCAGCCCAGAGCCUGAAUCAGUGUGUGUGUUAGUGGAAGCGUCUGGAAAGGCGCGCGAUACAGGGUGACAGCCCCGUACACAAAAAUGCACAUGCUGUGAGCUCGAUGAGUAGGGCGGGACACGUGGUAUCCUGUCUGAAUAUGGGGGGACCAUCCUCCAAGGCUAAAUACUCCUGACUGACCGAUAGUGAACCAGUACCGUGAGGGAAAGGCGAAAAGAACCCCGGCGAGGGGAGUGAAAAAGAACCUGAAACCGUGUACGUACAAGCAGUGGGAGCACAGAGCAAUCUGUGUGACUGCGUACCUUUUGUAUAAUGGGUCAGCGACUUAUAUUCUGUAGCAAGGUUAACCGAAUAGGGGAGCCGAAGGGAAACCGAGUCUUAACUGGGCGUUAAGUUGCAGGGUAUAGACCCGAAACCCGGUGAUCUAGCCAUGGGCAGGUUGAAGGUUGGGUAACACUAACUGGAGGACCGAACCGACUAAUGUUGAAAAAUUAGCGGAUGACUUGUGGCUGGGGGUGAAAGGCCAAUCAAACCGGGAGAUAGCUGGUUCUCCCCGAAAGCUAUUUAGGUAGCGCCUCGUGAAUUCAUCUCCGGGGGUAGAGCACUGUUUCGGCAAGGGGGUCAUCCCGACUUACCAACCCGAUGCAAACUGCGAAUACCGGAGAAUGUUAUCACGGGAGACACACGGCGGGUGCUAACGUCCGUCGUGAAGAGGGAAACAACCCAGACCGCCAGCUAAGGUCCCAAAGUCAUGGUUAAGUGGGAAACGAUGUGGGAAGGCCCAGACAGCCAGGAUGUUGGCUUAGAAGCAGCCAUCAUUUAAAGAAAGCGUAAUAGCUCACUGGUCGAGUCGGCCUGCGCGGAAGAUGUAACGGGGCUAAACCAUGCACCGAAGCUGCGGCAGCGACACUAUGUGUUGUUGGGUAGGGGAGCGUUCUGUAAGCCUGUGAAGGUGUACUGUGAGGUAUGCUGGAGGUAUCAGAAGUGCGAAUGCUGACAUAAGUAACGAUAAAGCGGGUGAAAAGCCCGCUCGCCGGAAGACCAAGGGUUCCUGUCCAACGUUAAUCGGGGCAGGGUGAGUCGACCCCUAAGGCGAGGCCGAAAGGCGUAGUCGAUGGGAAACAGGUUAAUAUUCCUGUACUUGGUGUUACUGCGAAGGGGGGACGGAGAAGGCUAUGUUGGCCGGGCGACGGUUGUCCCGGUUUAAGCGUGUAGGCUGGUUUUCCAGGCAAAUCCGGAAAAUCAAGGCUGAGGCGUGAUGACGAGGCACUACGGUGCUGAAGCAACAAAUGCCCUGCUUCCAGGAAAAGCCUCUAAGCAUCAGGUAACAUCAAAUCGUACCCCAAACCGACACAGGUGGUCAGGUAGAGAAUACCAAGGCGCUUGAGAGAACUCGGGUGAAGGAACUAGGCAAAAUGGUGCCGUAACUUCGGGAGAAGGCACGCUGAUAUGUAGGUGAAGCGACUUGCUCGUGGAGCUGAAAUCAGUCGAAGAUACCAGCUGGCUGCAACUGUUUAUUAAAAACACAGCACUGUGCAAACACGAAAGUGGACGUAUACGGUGUGACGCCUGCCCGGUGCCGGAAGGUUAAUUGAUGGGGUCAGCGCAAGCGAAGCUCUUGAUCGAAGCCCCGGUAAACGGCGGCCGUAACUAUAACGGUCCUAAGGUAGCGAAAUUCCUUGUCGGGUAAGUUCCGACCUGCACGAAUGGCGUAAUGAUGGCCAGGCUGUCUCCACCCGAGACUCAGUGAAAUUGAACUCGCUGUGAAGAUGCAGUGUACCCGCGGCAAGACGGAAAGACCCCGUGAACCUUUACUAUAGCUUGACACUGAACAUUGAGCCUUGAUGUGUAGGAUAGGUGGGAGGCUUGGAAGUGUGGACGCCAGUCUGCAUGGAGCCGACCUUGAAAUACCACCCUUUAAUGUUUGAUGUUCUAACGUUGACCCGUGAUCCGGGUUGCGGACAGUGUCUGGUGGGUAGUUUGACUGGGGCGGUCUCCUCCUAAAGAGUAACGGAGGAGCACGAAGGUUGGCUAAUCCUGGUCGGACAUCAGGAGGUUAGUGCAAUGGCAUAAGCCAGCUUGACUGCGAGCGUGACGGCGCGAGCAGGUGCGAAAGCAGGUCAUAGUGAUCCGGUGGUUCUGAAUGGAAGGGCCAUCGCUCAACGGAUAAAAGGUACUCCGGGGAUAACAGGCUGAUACCGCCCAAGAGUUCAUAUCGACGGCGGUGUUUGGCACCUCGAUGUCGGCUCAUCACAUCCUGGGGCUGAAGUAGGUCCCAAGGGUAUGGCUGUUCGCCAUUUAAAGUGGUACGCGAGCUGGGUUUAGAACGUCGUGAGACAGUUCGGUCCCUAUCUGCCGUGGGCGCUGGAGAACUGAGGGGGGCUGCUCCUAGUACGAGAGGACCGGAGUGGACGCAUCACUGGUGUUCGGGUUGUCAUGCCAAUGGCACUGCCCGGUAGCUAAAUGCGGAAGAGAUAAGUGCUGAAAGCAUCUAAGCACGAAACUUGCCCCGAGAUGAGUUCUCCCUGACUCCUUGA